AUAAAAUGGGGCUUAUCAGUUUGUAGCUUUGUAUGGACUGCGACUGUCAGGAAAUGGGGAGGUGGGGGCUGACACCUGACCCCCACCCUUGCAGCCCAGGGCAGCCUUCUUUCUCUUCCUUUGGACAUCUUUAGCAAUCUCUGCUUGCUGUUAUGGCCAGGAUCUUACCUAAGAGACAUCUACAUUUCCAGAGCCUGGCCCUAGGGGAAAUGAAGUUCCAAGCCAUUGCACUGCCAGCCUGUGAAGCCGGAGCAGCACAUCCCUCCUGGUGUGCCCUCCCCAGGACCCAAAUCCUAAGGAAGCUAUUAACAUGGGAGAAGGAGAAACUCGGCCAGGCUGGGAGCCUUGAUGAGAAUACGCUCUGGGAGCCUGAGUUGUGUGAGAGGCCGAAGAUCGCUGGUUUUAGAACACCCAAGAGCACAGGUGUGGUUAUCGCUGGUGAAGCAGAUAGAGCAUCUCCGGUAGACUGGGAACAAGUCCUGAGCCACAGAGACACAAUCCUAUGGGGAGGCACUUGGUGUUCCUGA
rnacentral:lncRNA from 1 species